rnacentral:rRNA from 1 species
UACGUAGGGGGCAAGCGUUGUCCGGAAUCAUUGGGCGUAAGGCGCGUGUAGGCGGCCCGGUAAGUCCGUUCUGAAAGCCCGGGGCUCAACCCCGGGAGGCGGAUGGAUACUGCUUGGCUCGAGUCCGGAAGAGGCGAGUGGAAUUCCCGGUGUAGCGGUGAAAUGCGCAGAUAUCGGGAGGAACACCAAUGGCGAAGGCAGCUCGCUGGGACGGUACUGACGCUGAGACGCGAAAGCGUGGGGAGCAAACAGG